AGAGAAAUCUUUUUUUCAGAAUAUUUUCUCCACCUUUGCAGGAAAAGAUGUGUCCCCUAAACCCUGACAGGCCAACUGUCCAAACCAAGCUGCAUCCACUAAACAAAUCUUUCAAGGUUGUGAUGUGAUGCAGAUGUCUGCAGCCAAGUGACAGCUCAGUGGUCUGACAACUCCUGAAAUAUCCUCAGAACCUGUGACUGUUGUCAUCACUCUGGUCUUUUCUUUUCUCAAACAGUAUCCUGUGGAUGGAAAACAGGUUGUCGUGGAAACCGUUGCACUCCUUGGAUGCAGACCACCAUGUAAACACAGACACGCAGGCUUUAGUUACUGAACUCAUCUGCCAAUCCAUCAGGAGCAGAAGCAUCAUUCCAAAGAUGUCAGCAAAGGUCUAGCAAACAGUUGGAGAACUCCUGGAAAAGGCGGAUAAAGACGGUUCUGCGUCACCAAAGAGAACCCGAAGCUGAAAACCGGAGUUUCAGUUUAUCUCCGACUUUCUGGAUGCGGCUGAAAGAAGGAGCUCUACAUCAGCGGAGUUGCUAUGACAACAAAUAAAAUGGCUCGCAUGCACAAAGAGGAAAAUCAGCAGGAGAUGUGAGCUGUGAUGUGCACCAAACAAAGAUGAGCAUCUGUCACCUGCAGUCAUGGAUUCAGAUCUGCCAAAGUCUGCAGAGGCUGUGGGGAGAUCGGGAGACUUUUUUCCGUCUGUCUGGUGUCACAGUUUGUGCAAACUAAACUCCCUUUUUCUCACACAGCAGUGGGCUGAAAUUCAUUAUCUCUAAAGUCCAGACAAAACUGGCAAAAAGAUCAGAGGUGGAUCGUGUGGAGCCCAAGAGCCACGUGGUGCAUCGGCCCACAGUUUCCUCAUGCUGGCUGAGGAACUUUUUUAAUGUGAAUGCAUGUUGAUGAUUCUUUCUAACAGUUCAGCUCCUGUUUUUAUGUCCCUCUGGUUUGUAGUUCCUGGAAUUGUAAUUUCUUUUAACUAAUAGAGUACUGAUGAGAAUGACACACCUCAUUGCAAACGAUCACAAUUAAAACGCUUCUAGUUUGACUUCAGGAGAACAAAAGGGAAAUCUCCAUUAUAGACGUUAAUUCAGAAAUGCAAAAAUGAGAGAAAAAACACCUUAAAGUGCCACAUUUCUUGUCUCUUUGGUUUUAAUAAAGAGUACUGGAGUUAAAAAAUACAAAUAACAGUUUAAUGCAGAAGCUCAAAAACCCAUUUUUGAGAAAAACAUUUUCUAGUUUUCUUUUUUUCUGCUUCUAUCACAGAUUAUUUACAAAGAUCUGAACUUCAAGAGUCGGCUGUGCUAUUCAGAAGACUAAAACUCUCAAGAUUUAGAUAUUUUCCACAAAAAAAAGAAUAGUCUAUUUUUUCAAUAUUUCUCACACCAAACAAGGUCUCUGUGUGACUUAGCUCCACAGCAUCAUACUCCCACUACCAUGCUUCACUGUAGGGCAGAGGUGGGCAAACUCUGACCCAGGGGCCAUAUGCGGCUCAUUAAACUAUUUAACCUGGUCAAUCAAACUGGAAUCAUUUAUAUUAAUAAUCCUCAUUUGUGUUUCAUCUUCACUGUAAUUGUGAUGUCUCUCCAUAUUUUGCGCACUAUAAAUAUAUUGACUUUUUGUUUGGAACAAAAAGUUACCCUGCAAUUAGUUUGGUGUUGGAAGAUUUUGUUGUUUUUCCAAAGUUCAUAUGUGUUUUCCGAGUUAUUUUUCCGAUCAUUACCAUGCCACUUAAAUUAAGCUUUUCUCUAAGUUUGUUUUUUUACCCAGAGGGAUAUCAACCCAGUGGUGCAAUUGGUACAAAAAUGAGAACAAGUUUUGAAAUAAAAACUCCAAAAUGUUCUGUUUUAAAGAAUAUAAAUCAGUUUUCAAUAAAAUGAAAGCAGGUUUUUGUUCAG